AACGAACGCUGGCGGCAGGCUUAACACAUGCAAGUCGAGGGGUAUAGUUCUUCGGAGCUAGAGACCGGCGCACGGGUGCGUAACGCGUAUGCAAUCUACCUUUUACAGAGGGAUAGCCCAGAGAAAUUUGGAUUAAUACCUCAUAGUAUGUGAGAAUCGCAUGGUUUUCACAUUAAAGUUCCAACGGUAAAGAUGAGCAUGCGUCCCAUUAGCUAGAUGGUAAGGUAACGGCUUACCAUGGCUACGAUGGGUAGGGGUCCUGAGAGGGAGAUCCCCCCACACUGGUACUGAGACACGGACCAGACUCCUACGGGAGGCAGCAGUGAGGAAUAUUGGACAAUGGGCGCAAGCCUGAUCCAGCCAUGCCGCGUGCAGGAAGAAGCAUCUAUGGUGUGUAAACUGCUUUUGUACGGGAAGAAACACUCCUACGUGUAGGAGCUUAGACGGUACCGUAAGAAUAAGGAUCGGCUAACUCCGUGCCAGCAGCCG
rnacentral:rRNA from 1 species